GGAUACUUAGUACGGCGAGUGAAGCGGUAAAAGCUCAAAUUUGAAAUCUGGUACUUUCAGUGCCCGAGUUGUAAUUUGUAGAAUUUGUCUUUGAUUAGGUCCUUGUCUAUGUUCCUUGGAACAGGACGUCAUAGAGGGUGAGAAUCCCGUUUGGCGAGGAUACCUUUUCUCUGUAAGACUUUUUCGAAGAGUCGAGUUGUUUGGGAAUGCAGCUCAAAGUGGGUGGUAAAUUCCAUCUAAAGCUAAAUAUUGGCGAGAGACCGAUAGCGAACAAGUACAGUGAUGGAAAGAUGAAAAGAACUUUGAAAAGAGAGUGAAAAAGUACGUGAAAUUGUUGAAAGGGAAGGGCAUUUGAUCAGACAUGGUGUUUUUUGCAUGCACUCGCCUCUCGUGGGCUUGGGCCUCUCAAAAAUUUCACUGGGCCAACAUCAAUUCUGGCAGUAGGAUAAAUCAUUAAGAAUGUAGCUACCUCGGUAGUGUUAUAGCUUAUUGGAAUACUGCUAGCUGGGAUUGAGGACUGCGCUUCGGCAAGGAUGUUGGCAUAAUGGUUAAAUGCCGCCCGUCUU
rnacentral:rRNA from 1 species